UACGUAGGGUGCGAGCGUUGUCCGGAAUUAUUGGGCGUAAAGGGCUCGUAGGCGGUUUGUCGCGUCGGGAGUGAAAACACUGGGCUUAACUCAGUGCUUGCUUCCGAUACGGGCAGACUAGAGGUAUUCAGGGGAGAACGGAAUUCCUGGUGUAGCGGUGAAAUGCGCAGAUAUCAGGAGGAACACCGGUGGCGAAAGCGGGUCUCUGGGCAACAACUGACGCUGAGGAGCGAAAGCGUGGGGAGCGAACAGG
rnacentral:rRNA from 1 species